rnacentral:rRNA from 1 species
CAUCGCAUCCUGGGGCUGAAGGAGGUCCCAAGGGUUUGGCUGUUCGCCAAUUAAAGCGGUACGCGAGCUGGGUUUAGACCGUCGUGAGACAGGUCGGUCCCUAUCUGGCGUGGGUGUAGGAUGAUUGAGGAGGUUUCUCCCUAGUACGAGAGGAUUGGGAGGGACGGUCCUCUGGUGCUCCAGUUGUCUCGCUAGAGGCACAGCUGGGUAGCUAUGACCGGAACGGAUAAGCGCUGAAUGCAUCUAAGCGCGAAGCCUUCUCCUAGACGAGUCAUCCCAACUAGUUCCCUGGUAGACUACCAGGUUGAUAGGCCGGCGGUGUAAGCGUGGUAACACGCUGAGCUUACCGGUACUAAUUGAACGAUUGGCUUAACCAC